GGAGGGAUCAUCAAAGAAUUUUAUACCUGCCAAGCUGUUUCUUCGGAAAUAAUAUAGCUUGGUACAAACAAACGAUCACAACUAUAUAGAGGGGGAAUUAUGAGAUACAAGUGUUUGCCUGAUAAAUGAUUGACUUGGAAAUCUAACAAUCUAUACAACUUUCAACAACGGAUCUCUUGGCUCUCACAUCGAUGAAGAACAUAGCAAAGUGUGAAAAUUAAUGUGAAUUGCAGAAUUCAGUGAAUCAUUGAGUUUUUGAACGCAUCUUGCACUCCUUGGCAUUCCAGGGAGUAUGCCUGGUUGAGCAAUGUGAACAUAUCUAUCAGUUUUAUUCUUUUGUAAGAAAAAAAGGAAAAAGAGACUGGAGUUGAGUGUUUUUACCUUGUCUUGUUUUUUGUUGCUGUGGGUUGGUUGUAUGCUGUGUGUGUGUGUGCUGGGUGAGAUUGUUUUUCAAUCUCUGGUAUGCGCAGUGUCAGUCAGUCAGUCUCAGUCAGUUGGAACAAGAAAACAAGGUUCACUUGAAAUGAAGAGGGAGGAAAAACACAACAGGGGUUUUUGAGAUAACAAAAAGAAACAAGCACGAGAGAGAACCUUUUUCCUUUGGGAAGAGGCGAUCAAGAAAAUUGGCUUGAUAAUAACAAUGACUUGAUGAAUGAGAGAAACAACACCCAUAUUAUCUUAUGAGGUUGGAUCGUUUGUUUUUUCAAAGUCUUGUUUAGAGCUUCUUUUCUGUGUGAGUUUCUUCUCAAGAACCUUGUUUGUUGUGUGUACGCACUCUUACAACUAGGAAUGUGUGUGUGUUUGGUUUUAUCACCACCAUCAUCAUCAUUCUCAACUCAGGCAAGACUACCCGCUGAAUUUAAGCAUAUAAAUAAGCGGAGGAAAAGAAACUAACAAGGAUUCCCUCAGUAACUGCGAGUGAAGCGGGAAAAGCUCAAUUUUGAAAUCUACUGGGAGUAACAUUCCUAGUCGAAUUGUAGUUUCAAGAAAGAGUGGCUGGAGAAUUCAGUUGGAUGCAAGUUCCUUGGAAUGAGACAUCAGAGAGGGUGACAAUCCCGUCCACCGUCCUUCUGUUCUCACAAGGCCCUCUUUUCAAAGAGUCGAGUUGUUUGGGAUUGCAGCUCAAAAUGGGUGGUAAAUUUCAUCUAAAGCUAAAUAUGGGUGAGAGACCGAUAGCGAACAAGUACCGUGAGGGAAAGAUGAAAAGCACUCUGAAGAGAGAGUGAAAAGUACGUGAAAUUGUUGAAAGGGAAACGCUUGAAACCAGUCAAGGUUUGCUAGAUUUCAGGAGAGUUUAUGUGUUGGGCAGAGUUGGCAUGGAGAUUGAUCUUUUAUGGUUGACUCUGUGCUGGGUUUUAGCUUGAUCAUGCUUUCUGUACGUUUCUAGUAAACAAGUCAGCAUCAGUUUGGGGGUUUUUUUUGCUUGGGAAAAAGCUAAUGGGAUUUGGUCGGGCUUUCAAUGGGCCUCUCUCGGCCCUUGAAGGUCUGGAGCCUGCUUAGCAUCAUACCAAGCCUCAGACUGAGGACUGCAGUACGGGGCAUUGACUUGGCUAGAUUUAGCCUGUGGUGCCGCUUUGGGUAAACAGCUUGCUGAUUGCUCAAGGUGUUGUCACUCGGGCUUGUCCAACUAAGCUGGCUUCCGACUUUGGAUGUUGACGAAAUGGUUUUAAACGACCCGUCUUGAAACACGGACCAAGGAGUCUAACAUGGAUGCAAGUAUUUGGGUGAUUGGAAACCCAGAUGCGCAAUGAAAGUGAAUUUUGAUAGGUAGGACGCUGGGGGGAGAAAUUCUCUUGGCCGCACUAUCAACCAAUCUUGUAUAGCCUCGGCUUGAUAGAUUUGAGUAAGAGCAUGCAUGCUGGGACCCGAAAGAUGGUGAACUAUGCCUGAAUAGGGUGAAGUCAGACGAAAGUCUGAUGGAAGCUCGUAGCGAUUCUGACGUGCAAAUCGAUCGUCAAAUUUGGGUAUAGGGGCGAAAGACUAAUCGAACCAUCUAGUAGCUGGUUCCUGC
rnacentral:misc_RNA from 1 species